rnacentral:rRNA from 1 species
UACGUAGGGGGCAAGCGUUAUCCGGAAUUACUGGGUGUAAAGGGUGCGUAGGUGGUAUGGCAAGUCAGAAGUGAAAACCCAGGGCUUAACUCUGGGACUGCUUUUGAAACUGCCAGACUAGAGUGCAGGAGAGGUAAGCGGAAUUCCUAGUGUAGCGGUGAAAUGCGUAGAUAUUAGGAGGAACAUCAGUGGCGAAGGCGGCUUACUGGACUGAAACUGACACUGAGGCACGAAAGCGUGGGGAGCAAACAGG